UACAGAGGUCUCAAGCGUUGUUCGGAUUCAUUGGGCGUAAAGGGUGCGUAGGCGGCGCGGUAAGUCGGGUGUGAAAUCUCGGAGCUUAACUUCGAAACUGCAUUCGAUACUGCCGUGCUUGAGGACUGGAGAGGAGACUGGAAUUUACGGUGUAGAGGUGAAAUUCGUAGAUAUUCGCAAGAACACCAGUGGCGAAGGCGGCUCACUGGCCCGGUACUGACGCUGAGGUGCGAAAGCGUGGGGAGCAAACAGG
rnacentral:rRNA from 1 species